UUCGUUUCUGGGCCUUUUGGCUAAGAUCAACUGCAGCAUCUGUUCUUAUCAGUUUAAUAUCUGAUACGUCCUCUAUGGAAAACAAUACUACAUGCAACAGGAACCCCCUCCCCAAAAAAGUGGGAGUAGCUGUCCUGUUUGCAGAUAAUGU
ensembl:snRNA U2 U2 spliceosomal RNA